rnacentral:rRNA from 1 species
CUAGACGAGUUUGAUCAUGGCUCAGGACGAACGCUGGCGGUGUGCUUCACACAUGCAAGUCGAACGAGGUAGCAAUACCUAGUGGCGGACGGGUGAGUAACGCGUGGGAAUCUGCCUUAAGAUGGGGGAUAACGAGCCGAAAAGGCUCGCUAAUACCGCAUAUGCCCGAAAGGUGAAAGGAGUAAUCCGUCUUAAGAUGAGCCCGCGUCCGAUUAGCUAGUUGGUAGGGUAAAGGCCUACCAAGGCGACGAUCGGUAGCUGGUCUGAGAGGAUGAUCAGACCACAAUGGGACUGAGACACGGCCCAUACUCCUACGGGAGGCAGCAGUGGGGAAUUUUACGCAAUGGGGGAAACCCUGACGUAGCGACACCGCGUGAGCGAAGAAGCCCCCGUUGGGGUGUAAAGCUCUGUCAGCUGGAACGAAAAAAAUAGACGGUACCAGCAGAGGAAGCAUCGGCUAACUACGUG